CGCAGAGCGGUCGACCCGGGCCACGCGCCCCCGCGCCCCACCAGUCCACCAGCACCCCCGCGGCCCCAAGAGCCAAACCGCCUCUUUUCCAAAAGCCAAACCACCCAUCCUCGCCUCGCGACCCGUCUCGUCCCUUCUCGCCUUCGCCGCCGCCGCCGCCGCCGAUGGGCUCCGCGGAGGAGCCGUCGCAGAUGCGGCGGGCGCUGGUGGACUCGCUCGCAGGCGCCAUCUCCGGCGGCAUCUCCCGCACCGUCACCUCCCCCCUCGACGUCAUCAAAAUCCGCUUCCAGGUUCAGUUAGAACCCACAACCUCGUGGGGUGUUCUUCAGAGGGAUGUAUAUGGACCUUCCAAGUACACUGGGCUUCUGCAGGCAACUAAAGAUAUUCUCAGAGAGGAAGGUUUGCCGGGAUUUUGGAGAGGAAAUGUACCAGCUCUGUUGAUGUAUAUGCCAUAUACAGCUAUACAAUUCACUGUUCUACACAAGCUAAAAACAUUUGCUUCUGGUUCAUCUAGAACAGAGGAUCAUUUGCACUUGAGCCCUUACUUAUCCUAUGUAAGUGGAGCUCUAGCAGGAUGUGCAGCAACUAUAGGGUCAUAUCCAUUUGACCUUUUGAGGACUAUUCUUGCAUCUCAGGGUGAACCAAAGGUUUACCCCAAUAUGAGGUCUGCAUUUGUUGAUAUAAUUAAAACUCGUGGUUUCCAAGGGCUUUAUUCUGGUCUAUCUCCAACUCUUGUUGAAAUCAUACCAUAUGCCGGUUUGCAAUUUGGUUCGUACGACAGUUUCAAACGUUCGAUGAUGACAUGGAACAGAUAUAGAUAUUCACAUCUUAACUUGGGUAGCGAGGAUGAUUCAGUAUCAAGUUUCCAGCUGUUUCUUUGUGGGUUUGCAGCUGGGACAUUUUCAAAGGCUGCAUGCCACCCACUUGAUGUUGUAAAGAAAAGAUUCCAGAUUGAAGGACUAAAACGCCAUCCAAGGUAUGGAGCUCGAAUUGAAAGCAGUACAUAUAAGGGCAUGUACCAUGCCUUAAAAGAGAUCGUCGCAAAGGAGGGGUUUGGAGGCCUUUAUAAGGGGCUUUUCCCCUCUUUGGUGAAAUCGGCCCCUGCUGGUGCUGUGACAUUUGUGGCAUAUGAAUACAUCUCAGACUGGUUAGAGUCGAUACUGAUGUGAAAAUCUUCGAUACAGUAAUACUUUAUCCCCAAAAUUUUCUGUACUGUCUAUAUUCUUUCCCCAUGCUGUUGUAAACUCGCACUAGUGUACUGUUUUCUGUCUGAAAGAGGCUGCAGUUCCUUUGGAUCUUGCAGUCCAUACAAGGUUAGGGAGGCUGCUAAAAUCUGCUGGAUGAUUCAUGCUCGAUUGGGAGCACGGCUGGAGUUGAGUGAGUUCUUGUUGGAUAUGGAACCAUCAAGAUACCAUCUUGAAAACUUUUUCAACACUCUGGACAUGGAGGCAGAUGGAGACCGCAAGGUUAAUCAUGGAGUGCAUACAAUUCCUUGAGAUCUGAUACCUGUAAAGCUUUACAUAGAAGAGCUGUUUUGCCGUUUCUUAUUCUUUCCCCCCAUUGCCUAAUGUGGUGAUAGUGCAUUCGUUGGUCUGUAACACCGAGGAUGAGUAAAACUGACAUUGAGAUCGCGACACAUGACCAAAGUCAAAAGCAGCCGGCAGUUUUGUCGAGAUCGUGUUAC